GAUGAACGCUAGCGGCAGGCUUAAUACAUGCAAGUCGAGGGGCAGCACGAAUAGCAAUAUUUGGUGGCGACCGGCGCACGGGUGCGUAACACGUAUACAAUCUACCUUAAACAGGGGGAUAGCCUUUCGAAAGAGAGAUUAAUACCCCGUAAUAAAUUGAAUGGCAUCAUUUGAUUUUGAAAGCUCCGGCGGUUUGAGAUGAGUAUGCGUCUGAUUAGCUAGUUGGUGAGGUAACGGCUCACCAAGGCGACGAUCAGUAGGGGAUCUGAGAGGACUAACCCCCACACUGGUACUGAGACACGGACCAGACUCCUACGGGAGGCAGCAGUAAGGAAUAUUGGUCAAUGGAGGCAACUCUGAACCAGCCAUGCCGCGUGCAGGAUGACGGCCCUAUGGGUUGUAAACUGCUUUUAUACAAGAGAAAACCCUGGUACGUGUACCAGGUUGAUAGUAUUGUAAGAAUAAGCAUCGGCUAACUUCGUGCCAGC
rnacentral:rRNA from 1 species